rnacentral:rRNA from 1 species
UACGGGGGGGAGCAAGCGUUGUUCGGAUUUACUGGGCGUAAAGGGCGCGUAGGCGGCGCAACAAGUCACUUGUGAAAUCUCCGGGCUUAACCCGGAGCGGCCAAGUGAUACUGUCGUGCUAGAGUGCGGAAGGGGCUACUGGAAUUCUCGGUGUAGCGGUGAAAUGCGUAGAUAUCUGGAGGAAUACCGGUGGCGAAGGCGGCAUCCUGGACCGACAUUGACGCUGAGGAGCGAAAGCCAGGGGAGCAAACGGG